CUUUCUGCCGAGGAGUUCUCCGAAAUUUUCUCUUCCUGCUCCCCUUCGUCUUUGAAGGAAAUCAUUUCAUCGUUUGCACCCAGAUCGUCCCCUCCACCGCCGUUGAGCUGCGGCAUUUUUCCCGACGUUGUCAAACAGCACUGAUGGGGGAAUUAUGUGCACGGUGCAGCACCAAAGUGCUGCGAGUCUGCCUACCAACACACCCCAGACCAGGCAACACCAUGAAAGCAGACGAUUGCGCUCAGUGAUCACUGAUGAGCUUUAUCUGGAUGAGGCAGCCGAUGGAAGAAGAGGCACCCUGCUGCUCGGGAGCCCUCCAAACCCGAGCCUGCACAGACCAGACCAAAGCAGAGGAGGUCCAAGCUGGCCUCUCCCUGGAUUGCCUCAGCAGGUACCUGAGAGUCUACUGGGGGCUGGUAGUGUGUUAUCACGCAUGCAGUGGACUCACCUGCCUCUGAUGCUGCCCUGGUGAUUCUAAUCUACAGGACUCUUUAAUAUCAUGAUGAUAGGCUGUGCUGCUGCCACUGCUGUGGAUGAAGGAGCAGAAGUGUGCCCUGUCUUUUUGUUGGUGCUAUUCAUAUUUGUUACAGGUUUUGCAUGUUCACCUCUCCUUCUUGUGGUUGUGGUUUUGUAACAACUGGAGAUUGUCCCCCAUUCAAACACUCCCCGACCACCUUCAUCUCUAAGCGUAGAGGAAACCAGAAGCAUCACACAACCUCAGCUUCAGGCCAGAUUAUCACGUUUGAGCUGCCACUUCCUGUCUCAGCAGCAAUCAAAUCUAAGUUAAAAUGCAAAACAGAAGCACCUUAACCUAACAGAAAGCUUUAAUGUUAUUUUUAUAUCAUGCUCAUCAUAUCUUUCCUUUCAUCUUGGUCCUGUAUAUGCAUUUCUAAGUAGGGCAGAAAAAAUAUAAUACAAACUUUGCCUUUAAAUAUAUCUACCAAUAUCUAAAAUUUUGUUGGUAUACAGGAUAAAAAAAAAUAGCUUUAAUUGUGUUUUGGCUUUCAAGGAUUCUGGGGUUAUGAUUUUUGUUAAUGUUGAAGAUCUAAUUAGUUAAAUCGCAAUCAAAACACUGGAUAUGUCUAGGGAAUAGGUCUUCAAUGAAGAUGGGGUGCUAAUAAAUAUCAGUAAUUAUCUCAUAAUACCUCUAAAUCCCCACCACGUAUAGUACGUUUAAUGUUUGUGGGGGAAAAUAACAGAAACAGUAUCUGUACAAUUUAAUUAACAUAUGUUUAGUCUGCACCAGCUCACAGCCAUCUUUUUAGAUCAAUAUUUUUAACACAUUUUCAUAUAACCAUAUUGCUCUUUUUGUCUCAGUCUUCAGAAAUAAAAGCAAAACCACUAAAUCCUGCCUGAACUCUCAAAGACACAGACUUGAGAAAUGUUUAUCCAAAACACUAAACUACAAAAAGAAAUGUAUGAGAUUUC